rnacentral:rRNA from 1 species
UGGGGAAUUUUGGACAAUGGGGGCAACCCUGAUCCAGCCAUGCCGCGUGAGUGAAGAAGGCCUUCGGGUUGUAAAGCUCUUUCGGCCGGGAAGAAAUCCUAUUCGAUAAUACCGGGUGGGGAUGACGGUACCGGCAUAAGAAGCACCGGCUAACUACGUGCCAGCAGCCGCGGUAAUACGUAGGGUGCGAGCGUUAAUCGGAAUUACUGGGCGUAAAGCGUGCGCAGGCGGUCUUUUAAGCCAGAUGUGAAAUCCCCGGGCUUAACCUGGGAACUGCGUUUGGAACUGGAAGGCUAGAGUACGGCAGAGGGGGGUGGAAUUCCACGUGUAGCAGUGAAAUGCGUAGAGAUGUGGAGGAACACCGAUGGCGAAGGCAGCCCCCUGGGCCUGUACUGACGCUCAUGCACGAAAGCGUGGGGAGCAAACAG